rnacentral:rRNA from 1 species
AACGAACGCUGGCGGCGUGCUUAACACAUGCAAGUCGAACGCUGAAGCUUGGUGCUUUCACUGAGUGGAUGAUUGGCGAACGGGUGAGUACUACGUGAGUGACCUGCCCUUGACUCUGGGGUACGCCUGGGGGACAAGGUCUAAUACUCGAUACGUCAUGUCACCGCAUUGGGGUAUGUGUAAAGGGUUUUGCUGGUUUUGGAUGGGCUUACGGCCUCUCAGCUUGUUGGUGGGGUAAUGGCGCAGCAAGGCCACGACGGGUAGCCGGCCUGAGCGGGUGACCGGCCACACUGCGACUGAGACACGGCCCAGACUCCUACGGGAGGCAGCAGUGGGGAAUAUUGCACAAUGGGCGGAAGCCUGAUGCAGCGACGCCGCGUGAGGGAUGACGGCCUUCGGGUUGUAAACCUCUUUCAGCACGGAAGAAGCGAAAGUGACGGUACGUGCAGAAGAAGCGCCGGCUAACUACGUG